UGGACGCUCCUGCCGGAAGUGGGCGGGAUCGCGUUGCAACGCGGCAAGGGCGAUGAGAGCGCGGAGGAGGCGCUGGUGGCCGAGUUUGGGGCGGGGACUGUCCCCAAUGCUCCGCAGCAAGGUUGGCUGAUUGUGGAGGCUAAAGCAACUCUACCUUGCCAGCUUAUCCACCAUGUGGACUUCUAAUUAAUCUCAGUUGCCGGAAUGCCUCUAAGAUUUCUACGUUAUCUACUGUGAAGAGCAAGUAAUUACUGCAAAUCCUGCCCUUGGGUCAAAACAACCUUGAUGACAUAUUCCUUCUGAAGCACAUAUACUCUUUCCCUAGGUGCCUGCCCUGCAGACUUCAGGCUCCAGCAUCAGACACAGAGACCCAGCGUUAUGGAGACUGUCUAACCAGAUCUCACAAUUGUGGAAGAUCCCAACUCCUACAGAAAUCUCUUAAAAACCACGUGUGGCUGGGCACAGUGGCUCAUGUAUGUAAUUCCAGCACUUUGGGAGGCUGAGGUGAGUGGAUCUCUUGAGCCCAGGAGUUUGAGACCAGCCUGGAGCAACAUGGUGAAACUGU
rnacentral:lncRNA from 10 species